AAUUCACCCUUAUAGUUUGAUCCUGGCUCAGAUUGAACACUGGCGGCAGGCCUAACACAUGCUUGUCAAACGGUGACAGGAAGAAGCUUGUCUUCUUUGCUUACGAGUGGCGGACGGGUGAGUAAUGUCUGGGAAACUGCCUGAUGGAGGGGGAUAACUACUGGAAACCGUUUCUUAUACCGUAUAACGUCCCAAGACCAAAAAAGGGGACCUUCGGGCCUCUUGCCAUCGGAUGUGCCCAUAUGGCAUUAUCCAGUACGUGGGGUAACAGCUCACCUAAGCAACUAACCAUAGCUGGGCUGAAACGGUGACACGCCUCCCUGGAGCUGAGUCACAGCCCUGACUCCUUCCGGAGAGGUCAGAGGGGGAUAAUGUUCUUCGGGCGCAGCC
rnacentral:rRNA from 1 species